GAAAACCCGCCACUGAGGACAGCGCUGGAAUAGAACCCGGAUCAGGGAAAAUUACCGCCGGAAAGACCGAUAACAAUACAUUUAUCAAGUUACGAGCACAUCCGAUAAGCAACGCAUGCUUGAGACGGGUGAGCCGAGUCAAUAUUGCCCGCACAAGUGUACAAUAAUCGUAUUGAAAGAGAAAAUUAUACAUUAGAAAGUUUAAAAUACAAAAAGACUCGGAAACAAAUUGACUAAUAAAUAUUGAAAUUUAAACACCGGGAAAAAGUUGUUUUACCUACUCAUUUCUUAUGCAUAAUGAAAUAAUCAAAGUUGGCUAAAAUAUUAUUAUGUUUACGUAAUAAAAUAACUCCUCUAAUGAUUGGACUUUGAUUACCUACCUGCCAAACUGAGUGCGAGUACGUGGUACAGUUAAGCUACAGUUAUUUUUAAUUCUU